rnacentral:rRNA from 1 species
UGGUGGAGCGAUUUGUCUAGUUAAUUCCGAUAACGAACGAGACUCUAGCCUGCUAAAUAGACGGGCGAUCCCUUGUGGGUCGAUCCGAUUUGCUUCUUAGAGGGACAAGUGGCGUUCCUAGCCACGCGAAAUUGAGCAAUAACA